GAGAGACUGCCGGGGAGAUGAGCAGUAACCUGGUUCCUGCAGCUGGAACCCCUGCGUAGCUGCAACCACACAACAGAAAAGGCAGAUCUACUCGAGCACGAUUCCCAUCGGUUUCCACGGGGAUUUUGCCUGAGGAAUGAUGGCAGGAUGAGGAGGCUUGGAACUUGGGAGAAACAGAUUUGUAAUGUAGAAUCCAGCCGGAUGUGUGUUAAGCAGAUGGAAUUCCUUCUGAAUAACAGACUGACCAGAUUUCCCACAAGACAGGGGUAAACAGCAGCUCCUUCACAAACUCAGGGGGAAAGGAAGUGGAACUAUUUUUGCAGUGCCAAAUUUUAAAUGACUACAAGGAAACACUCGAAGUGUUUUGAG